UACGGAGGAUGCAAGCGUUAUCCGGAUUUAUUAGGUUUAAAGGGUGCGCAGGUUGUUUGAUAAGUCAGUGGUGAAAGUCUGUCGCUUAACGGUAGGAUUGCCAUUGAUACUGUUAGACUUGAAUAUGGAUGAGGUAGGCGGAAUGUGUAGUGUAGCAGUGAAAUGCAUAGAUAUUACACAGAACACCGAUUGCGAAGGCAGCUUACUAAUCCAUCAUUGACGCUGAGGCACGAAAGCGUGGGGAUCAAA
rnacentral:rRNA from 1 species